GUGGGGAAUAUUGGGCAAUGGGCGAAAGCCUGACCCAGCAACGCCGUGUGAGGGAAGAAGGCUUUCGGGUCGUAAACCUCUGUCAGAAAGGAAGAACCUCCCAAGUCCGAAUAGGGCUUGGGACUGACGGUACUUUCAAAGGAAGCACCGGCUAACUCCGUGCCAGCAGCCGCGGUAAUACGGAGGGUGCAAGCGUUAAUCGGAAUCACUGGGCGUAAAGCGCGCGUAGGCCGCUUUGUAAGUCGGACGUGAAAGCCCUCGGCUCAACCGGGGAACUGCGUUCGAUACUGCGAGGCUUGAGUCCUGGAGAGGGUGGCGGAAUUCCGGGUGUAGGAGUGAAAUCCGUAGAUAUCCGGAGGAACACCGGUGGCGAAGGCGGCCACCUGGACAGGUACUGACGCUGAGGCGCGAAAGCGUGGGGAGCAAACAGGAUUAGAAACCCCAGUAGUCC
rnacentral:rRNA from 1 species